rnacentral:rRNA from 1 species
AUACAGAGGGUGCGAGCGUUAAUCGGAAUUACUGGGCGUAAAGCGCGCGUAGGCGGCUUAUUAAGUCAGAUGUGAAAUCCCCGGGCUCAACCUGGGAACUGCAUCUGAUACUGGUAAGCUAGAGCUUGGGAGAGGGAAGUAGAAUUUCAGGUGUAGCGGUGAAAUGCAUAGAGAUCUGAAGGAAUACCAGUGGCGAAGGCGACUUCCUGGCCUAAAACUGACGCUGAGGUGCGAAAGCGUGGGUAGCAAACGGGAUUAGAAACCCGGGUAGUCC